UAAGUUACUAAGAGCACACGGGGGAUGCCUAGGCUCUCAAAGGCGAAGAAAGACGUGAUAAGCUGCGAUAAGGUUCGGGGAGAAGCAAAUAUUUGUUGAUCCGAACAUUUCCGAAUGGGGAAACCUGGCUAGUUGAAGACUAGUCGUCGAAAGACGCGAACGCGCUGAACUGAAACAUCUAAGUAGGCGUAGGAGAAGAAAACAAUAGUGAUUUCCGGAGUAGCGGCGAGCGAAAUGGAAACAGCCCAAACCAAGAUUGUUUCGGCAAUUUUGGGGUUGUAGGACUACAAAGUGGACUUAAUGAGUAUAGUGGAAGAAGUUGGAAAGCUUCAUCGUAGAGGGUGACAAUCCCGUACACGACAUGCUUAUUAUACCUAGUAGUAUCCUGAGUAGGGCGGGACAUGUGAAAUCCUGUCUGAAUCAACCGGAACCAUCCGGUAAGGCUAAAUACUCCUCAGAGACCGAUAGCGAACGAGUACUGUGAAGGAAAGGUGAAAAGAACCCUGAAUAAGGGAGUGAAAAAGAUCCUGAAACCGUGUGUUUACAAGCGGUCGAAGCCUACGGGCGACGGCGUGCCUUUUGCAUAAUGAUCCUACGAGUUACUCCUCAUUGGCAAGGUUAAGAACUUCAGGUUCGAAGCCGAAGCGAAAGCGAGUCUUAAUAGGGCGACAUAGUCAGUGGGGGUAGACGCGAAACCUUGU
rnacentral:rRNA from 14 species